CGAGGGAAAUAGUUAGUUUUGUUUUCCCGAGAAUCUCAGACAUUGAGAUUCGAGGGAAAACAAAACUAAUUAUUUCCCGA